GACAGAGGGUGCAAACGUUGUUCGGAAUUACUGGGCGUAAAGCGCGUGUAGGCGGUUAUGCAAGUCGGGUGUGGAAGCCCCGGGCUCAACCCGGGAAGUGCAUUCGAUACUGCGUAGCUAGAGUACUGGAGAGGAUGGUGGAACUCUCGGUGUAGAGGUGAAAUUCGUAGAUAUCGAGAAGAACACCGGUGGCGAAGGCGGCCAUCUGGACAGAUACUGACGCUGAGACGCGAAAGCGUGGGGAGCAAACAGG
rnacentral:rRNA from 1 species